CAGUGUUAGAGUGGGAGACAGAGAUGGACUGAGGCUUCAGUGAGUAGAGGCUGAGUAAGUGACUAAGGAAUGUGAACCAGAAGCCACACACGCUUGACCAACGAUUAUUUGCUGUCGAACAUGGUGAUGAAUGGACAUCUAAAGAUUAAAUCAAAGCUACAAGACUUGUGAAACCUGAAGCAAUGAUGUUCUUCGUGCAUUAUGCAAACUUACAUCUGUCUAGCACUUUCACAUCCUCAGAACGGCCACUGAAAUGGAAAGCACCAAGUUUAUGGGCAGAAAGGCCAAGGAAGGGAACAAAGGUUGAAGGGAGCGACACAUCUGGGCAACUGCUCUUCUCCCAGAAAUGUUCCAUGAUGACUUCUAAAGCUGGAAUCUCCAACACAAAGGAUUUCAACAGCAGUGCAGGUGGACUGGGCCAGAGGGUGCUCAAUCUGCUCAGCCCAACGAAUCCCACAGCCCCUUGCCCUGCUGCAGCUCAUUGGGGAAGGAACCUCCUCUUCUUGUCCCUUCCCUGAGCAGAGUGAUGGGUCUGAGGCUGCUACCCUGUUGUCUGAGGCUGCUGGAUGCUGUUAACAGAACCUAUUGCUCUCUUCAGCGUCUCUGAUACUUGGGGACAUUUGAAAUGGACUUAAAUAAAUUUUAGAUUUUUA